GCGAUCUUUCAUGUCCCCCUUGGUGGGGGCUGGAAGUGACAGAAAAGGUACCCCAGGGGUAACUGGCUCGUCGCGGGCGAGAGUUCACAUCGACCCCGCGGCUUGGUACAUCGUUGUCGGCUCUUCCCAUCCUGGUCCUGCAUAAGGGGCCAAGGGUAGGUCUGUUCGGCCAUUAAAGGGGAACGUGAGCUGGGUUUAGACCGUCGUGAGACAGGUCGGACUCUAUCUGCUGGGGGUGUCGGCUGCUUGGAGGGAAGGAAUCCCUAGUACGAGAGGAACGGGAUAUCGCAGCCACUGGUCUACCGGUUGUCCGACAGGGCAUCGCCGGGCAGCCACGCUGUCGGGGAUAAGAGCUGAAAGCAUCUAAGCUCGAAGCCCCUCCCGAAAAGAGGCAGCCACUUCGCAACGCGCGACUCUGGCAACGGAGCCGCUGUUGUGAACGAGGGUUGAGACCAGAAGAUCUCGUUGAUGGAGCGGGGGUGUACGCGUCGAGGCUUCGGCCGAGGCGUUCAGCCCGCCGCCCCCAAUCACCCAAGGUGUAGGGUCA
rnacentral:rRNA from 1 species